CCUGCACACUGUGAGCGAACACUUCAGCUCUUGAACCUGAGCUGCUGCUGCUGCCUUCCUGUGCUCCUCAUUAAGUGCCCUGCUAAUUUAAACAGAAAACCCUGACUUCCUUUCAUCAUUUACAAGCUCUCUGUUUGAGCACACACAUAUGUAGGUCACAGAGAAAUAAUGACUCUGGCUCAACACUAAAGAAGAUGCUGAAUCAAAAGGUCUUCACAAUAUAUCUUUGUGCUUUAGAGUGUCACUGCCGCUCUUCCUGUCUCUUUGAAGACAGAAAUAAACUUUCAUUCUUCAGCAUCUGAUCUCCAUCAAAAGAUAACUGCUACAGGGUGAGCGGCUCUUUGCUUUCACUGCUGUUUGCACUGUGUGUGUUCCCUCUGUUAUCCACAUGCAUGUUUGUUAUUUAACCUUUAUUUAAUUCUCCAGGAUCUUUGAGGUUUCCCUCAUUUACAAUUAUGUUGAGAUGCAACAGAAACACAUUUAAAACAAAUUAAUAAACGAGACAAUGAGGUACAAUCAAUAAAAACAAUGACAUAUUAUGGUGAAAUUAUUUGACAUCAUCAUUUUGAAUUUGCUAAAAGAAACUCAUGUAUUCAUCCUCAGACUUCGUUGUAGGUUGUUCCACAUUAUAGGAGCGCAGUAACUGAUUGCAGAUUUACCCAAUUCAGAGUAAACUCUUCGGACCUGCAGCAUCAAGCAGUCAGUGGAUCGAGUACUGUAAUGUCCGGUGGUCCAGUUUAGCGUAGAUGUUAUAAAUGAUGGUGUGAAAGCUAUUCCCACUAGUUGCAUGUACCUGAAACACAAGGGAAAUAAAGGCUGAACUUAAGUUAAACUAAUGUCUGUAAGAGAUAAGUGAGAUUAGCAUCAGGCUUUGUGAAGCUGCGGCACUGAAACGGUUUCAUCAACAUGAUGGUUUACUCAGAACAAAGGCAACAGGCCUUUAAAGAGGUCUGCUUGACUCUGAAGAGGAGCACUCAAGUGACUGAAGGAGUUUGGAUCAGUGUCAAAUAAUUUAAAAAAAACUGAAUUCAACUUUUAGAAAACAGUCUGUGGUUUAAAAAUGAUGUUCAUACCAGCACACUCUGAGGGACACUGAGAACUGACAAUCUCUCUCUCUCUCUCUCUCUCUCUCUCUCUCUUUCUCUCUUUCUCUCACUCUCUCUCUCUCUCUCUCUCUCUCUCUCUUUCUCUCUCUCUCUCUCUCUCUCUCACUGUGAAACCUUUGUCUGUGUUUAAUGUGUUUGGCUCAUUUACAUGCUUGAGUAGAUGUAGCCUACAGUUAUGUCAGUAUGAGGGUGUGUCUUAUUGUGUACUUCUUAUCAGUUACACACAUACACACACACACACACACACACUUGUGAUAGCGUUUACACAAUACACAUGGUUGUUUAAACAUGUGAGCACAUCCUGGUCGUGUAAGCUGCAGGGGUUUGGAGGAAACAGAAUGUAAACUGUUGUUGACUUUUCGUUUGAAGUUUUACUGCAUCAUGUGUUUAUGUUAAACUUUGAAACAGGUUGGGUCGAAACUGUUGUUUACAUUUUUUAUAUUUGUUCUAUAAAGACUCUGAACUUCUAAUCUAAUUUUUAUGUUUAACUCCAUUUGUUAAGAUGCCUACAUUGCAUGUUCAGAUAUGUUGCUGUACUGUAUGAUCUUUGGAGUUUUUACUGCUUGGGGGUACGCUGUCUAUUAAAGCCACACCUAUGCAAUGAUAGUCAUGCACACAAAAUGUCAGGAUAACUUUUAGACAGCAACUCAAACAAGCUGAUGUGCAAACUGUAAAAGUGCAAAGACAGAAGAAAACAGCUUGCAAUCUUCAAACACAGGUUAGGUCCUCUAAUGUCUUAUUGCUGGUGUACUUUGUUCAGUCAAAGAAAUAAAAGAGCAAAAUCAAAAAGUGGUUGAUCACACCUGUGCAGGUUAUAUCUUCAAAAGAGAACAAAAACCAUAUUUGAACCAGAAAAGGGCUAAUGUUAAUUUCUUCAUUUAAACCUUUUGGCGUCAUGAUGUUAAGAGUACACAUCUAAAAUAGUUUCUGUUUUAGGAGAGGGUUAUUGAUAUCUCCUCCUCUCCGUGGAAGUUUAACACGUUCAAUACCGGUGUAAGAAAGAGAUGCCAUUGUGUGAUUCAACGAUUGAAAGUAGUUAGAAACUGGACUCUUAUUUUACUCCAGCAUCCUGUUACCCUGUAAGUUUUUCCUACGUAAGUUAGACUACAAGGACAUUUCAGCAUGUAAAGACUUUUUUUGUGUUACAUGACAUGACACCUUUGAUUUGUUUUACAUGACAUGCCACCUUUGAUUUGAAAGAUUUUACCUGCAUGUAGGGAACAAAGAGUUUUGUGACAUCGAUGACAGUGUCUAUAUUUGUUACUGUCUUGCUCCACUGGAGACACUUACAUUUCUGACUCUAAAACAUCAACUACUUUGGAUAUACACCUUGGUUACACUUCUGCUUGACUCAGCACCUGCCCUUGGAUAGUUUGGAUGAGCAUGUUUUAUAAUUUAUUUUUUGCACGACUACAAAAGUUGCAUAACUAUGACUAUGCACAGUAUGGUUCCUUUCAGCAAGUGCUGGGUAGCUCAACAUCUUUCCUCCCCACAGACAUCCUUUACUGGAGUAAGAAGUCAGAUAUUUAGUUGGUACACAGGAUGUUUUAUUUUGGAUAAUCAGCUUGACAGUAUCUGCCUUUAUAGCACUUAUCCCCAAUGUCCGCAGGAGCUCAAAAAUGAUCAGAUUUCAUAAAUCCAGUUUAAUGGUGUGGUUUAAUUUUUUAUCCACAUCUAAGGAGGCCAUGUAGGGUUGAUUGGUGGGCUGUUCCCCCACUGAGCAUUUUUUGGUCUAAAAGAGGUCUAAUAGAGGUCUAAAUGUAGCCCAGACGACUGGUCUAAAAUCAGGCUACCACAGGUCUAAAAAUGAAUGUUUUUUUAGAUUGGUUAUGCAACUCACAGUUGCUUUUUGAAAUAAAUAGUUAUCGAAUAAUGGGUUAAAGCGCAACGUUUAAAUUCUGUCUAAAAAUAUACAGAAUCCAGACGGUCAAAGUUAGGUCUAAAAAAAAUAAAUGGACGCCUAAUAGCCGUCUGUUGCUCAGUGGGCCCCCUCACUUACAUGUCCAUUCUGCUUUGUGUGAAGGUCCACUGACAAUCACAAGUCCUCCAUAGAAACAGAAACAGUUAAUUUUGUUUCCCCCUCUCCUCAUUUGUGUUCCUAUGAAAUCUUUUUCAAACAUUGUCAAAGUGAAGCAGCAAAAAGAUUAUUAUUCAAGAUGUUUUGCUUCAAGUAGACUGAAUUUAGCAUUUGUUAGAGUUUAAAUGAACUGAAUUAGAAGUCGUGGAUCAUUGAUGGUAGAGGUCGUGUUGAGGAUAGGCUGAUUGUGGCUGUAAUAUAAUGACGUCUCAUUACUAUGAGUUUCAGGUCCUCUUGAUUCCCAGACUCCUUCAGUCUCCUGUUGUGACAUUCUGGGGAGUCAGAAGGAGAUUUGUAUGUGCGCAUGCAUCUGUCUGUGUGUGUGUGUGUCUGUGUGUGUGUGUGUGUGUGUGUGUGUGUGUGUGUGUGUGUGUGUGUGUAUGUGCCCUUAUAUUCUUGAAGGGGGUCUACUGCAGAAAAGAAGUCUGAACAAAGGAAAGGGGGCAGUAUAAUUGGCUUCAGCGCUGCCAGGCGACACAAUGACACGGCCAUUGAUAGAGGAAUGAGUUCCUGGGAGCGGUGGACCAAUGGCAGAGCAGGAGCCUGUUUUUCACAGCCUCUGAUUGGCUGGCUCGGGGAGGCUGUCGGUCUCCAGGUAGCAAAGUGAACCUAGGAGCAUUUCUGCCUCCCCUCUGUCUCCUGGAGGAGGGAAGGAGGGAGAGAGGGAGGGAGUGUGUGGAAGAGGAGCUGUGACCUCAUCUGUGGAGAGGAGACAACAAUAGAAUUACGUACACACCUCAUUUUAUGUCUGAUAUUGUGUGUGUGGGUUUUUUUUCCCCCUGUUAUUUUCUCAUGACUCCAAGUAAAACUCUCUUUUCUAUUUCUGUUGACCCAGGAGGUAUUCAAUGUGUGUGUGUGUGUGUGUGUGUGUGUGUGUGUGUGUGUGUGUGUGUGUGUGUGUGUGUGUGUGUGUGUGUGUGUGUGUGUGUGUGUGUCUGUGAGAGUGCAUUUCUUUGGCUGCCAUUAGCAUCUGCAUUGCCAGGGCCCUGAAAUAAAUGUGUUUCAUUUGUCUUUAACUUGGCUGUACACUCCACUGCUCCUCUCUCUCUCUCUCUCUCUCUCUCUGUUUCUGAGAACUGUGGAUUAAAGCUUGGCUUCAUUUGUUUAGAUUGGCCAUUUCUCAACUUUCCUGCUGUUUCAGGACAGAAAUACACACUCCCGUGGCAUUUAAACUCCAGAAAAACAGAGCUUGAGUGACUUCUAAGGAAUGCAGAAAAAGGGGGCUUUAGCUGAGGCAGGAUUGGGGCGCACAAAUAUUUGCCUGUGUACUAAUUGUGUGUCUGUAUCUUUCUUAACUAGUCUGUAUUAUUUUGAAUUUGUCGCCACGGCUGACAUAAAUUCACACGUCUGUGUCUAUGAGUGUAAAUGUGAAUCAGUCCUCACACUGGUCAUCAUAUCUUCAUACUAUCCCCUUGAUCAAAUUUCUCGGCUGCUUGUAAAACAUCCUCCAUGUGACACACAAUUAGCAAGCAAUUAACAAGGGCCAUCAAGUGUCAACCGAUUGGACGCGCCAUCAUAACACUGAGUGACAUCUCCAUCACCGCAGCACUGCCUGAAUCGCCCUGAACCAGCAGGGUGCAGAGAUUAAGACACUGUCUGCCUGCGUGUCUCGUGCAGAAAUCUGUGUCAGUCUGUCUCUUUGAUUCUCUGCCUGCAUUUUUACUUAUCUCUAUCCACUCACCUUCAUGUCAGCUUAAGAACUGUUGUGUUAUGACUUUCCAUCAAACUUCCAUCUCUUGGCUCAAUCUGUCCUCUUGUUUCUGAUCAAAACUUUCUGAUUUGUCCGCCUCUUGGUUUUUGUUUGUGUUCCUUUUGUGUGUAUUCAUGCUUAAGAAAAGCAUGUCGUCUUGCACUUAAACAUCAGGGUGUCUGCUGAGGAAUACUGUCAACAUAUCCUGCAUAUCAAAGUGAACUGAUGUGACUGUUACAAAACUGUCCCUGUGCGUGUUUGUCAGAGCUGGAGUUGUCCAACAUAAAGAGACAACUUAAGAAUAAAAUCCUAUUAAAGAGCAGAUGGAGCUCUUGUAAAGGGAACAUACAUUAUCUAAGACAGAUUUCUGCUCUGCCCUAUAAAAAAAUGUCAAACAGUAUGAUGACAGUUCAAUUGCAAGGAAGCAGUUUGACACCAUAGACCUUCAUAUUUCAGACAUUCUGAUCUCCUUUGGCCCUAAAUUCAUGAGCCCUACCCUACUCCAAUUCACACUAACACAGGUAACUCAUGCCAUUAAAGAAAAUCUUAAUUCUGGCCAUCUUCUUGGCAUAACAUAACAUCUCCCUUUGAGGAAGAAUGUCUCCACCAAACAUAUAAAAGAGAGACUGAAAGAGGGAGGGAGCUCUGCAGGCUGUAAUGAAGGAUGAGGCAAAGAGUCUAUGUCAGUGCUUUAGAGGGUUAGACUGCUACAUGGACUCUUUCUUUUGAGGGCUCUCCCAACCUCAGGUGCACACAGGUGGUCAGGAAUACACUUUCUACAGGGUCCUCAUGUGUAGAGUAAAUUAUACAACAGAUGCAAGGGGACACAGAUGGCUUGUUUAUUGUAGAAACAGGCCAAUGUUAUGAUAGGGGUGCUGACUUCAGUCACAGUACAGACUACAGCCAUAUGGACAGUCUGACAUUUCAUAUCACUCACACACAGCUCCUUUAGAGACAAGUUAAAAACUAUAACCAUUAUUUCCUUACAUAUGAGUGCAGACCUACAUGAGCCAGAUGGGUGCCAGAAACUGUUUAUGUGAACAGGGCUGACUUUGGCUAAAAUAUAAAUCUGUCUGAUGUGGACAUACUAGUAGCUGUCCUUCACUACCGUUUCAGUCUUUGCUCACUGUCUCCUUUACUGUUUAUCAUUUUAUAUUUUGAGUGAUUUAAUUGACUGAAAUAGUAAAAAACUGAACUGUCUAAAACUAACAUAGGUCGAGUGACCCUAUACCUGUUUGUGGUAGAAGUUUGAUAAUAGGGAUUUGAUAUGGCUCCACAUGUAUAAAAAACAGUAAUCUCUUAUACUCUUAGAGAAUUAAUGCAAAUCAGUGAGUCACAAUAAAGCUCUGUGUUUGUCAUCAUUAAUCCUUAAUUUAAUUGAUGUGUUUUCUCAAGGCUGAAUUUUUUUUUUUUCAAAUGGUUCUCAAAGUUUCUUUUAUCAAAAAUCACAACUUGUCCUUUUGAUGUUUUAGAUUCAGAAGAUGAGGAGGGUGGUGUCAUGUGGUGCAGGCAAUAAUGAGUGAUGUGAGGAGGCUAAAGUGAUGUUGGAACCACGUG